rnacentral:rRNA from 1 species
AGUCGAGCGAGCUGACCAGCAGAUUCACUUCGGUGAUGACGCUGGGAACGCGAGCGGCGGAUGGGUGAGUAACACGUGGGUAACCUGCCCUAAAGUCUGGGAUACCACUUGGAAACAGGUGCUAAUACCGGAUAACAACAAUAGCUGCAUGGCUAUUGCUUAAAAGGCGGCGAAAGCUGUCGCUAAAGGAUGGACCCGCGGUGCAUUAGCUAGUUGGUAAGGUAAUGGCUUACCAAGGCGACGAUGCAUAGCCGAGUUGAGAGACUGAUCGGCCACAUUGGGACUGAGACACGGCCCAAACUCCUACGGGAGGCAGCAGUAGGGAAUCUUCCACAAUGGGCGAAAGCCUGAUGGAGCAACGCCGCGUGAGUGAAGAAGGUUUUCGGAUCGUAAAGCUCUGUUGUUGGUGAAGAAGGAUAGAGGUAGUAACUGGCCCCUAUUUGACGGUAAUCAACCAGAAAGUCACGGCUAACUACGUGCCAGCAGCCGCGGUAAUACGUAGGUGGCAAGCGUUGUCCGGAUUUAUUGGGCGUAAAGCGAGCGCAGGCGGAAAGAUAAGUCUGAUGUGAAAGCCCCCGGCUUAACCGAGGAAUUGCAUCGGAAACUGUGUUUCUUGAGUGCAGAAGAGGAGAGUGGAACUCCAUGUGUAGCGGUGGAAUGCGUAGAUAUAUGGAAGAACACCAGUGGCGAAGGCGGCUCUCUGGUCUGUAACUGACGCUGAGGCUCGAAAGCAUGGGUAGCGAACAGGAUUAGAUACCCUGGUAGUCCAUGCCGUAAACGAUGAGUGCUAAGUGUUGGGAGGUUUCCGCCUCUCAGUGCUGCAGCUAAC